rnacentral:rRNA from 1 species
GAUUAACGCUGGCGGCGUGCAUAACACAUGCAAGUCGAACGAUGAAACUUAACUGAUUUCUUCGGAAUGAUUUUAAGUGGAUUAGUGGCGGACGGGUGAGUAACGCGUGAGUAACCUGCCUUGGAGAAGGGGAUAGCCUUUGGAAACGAAGAAUAAUACCCUAUGAUAUGAUACUAUCUCAUGAUAUUAUCAUCAAAGAUUUAUCGCUCUAAGAUGGACUUGCGUCUGAUUAGUUAGUUGGUGAGGUAACAGCUCACCAAGGCAGCGAUCAGUAGCCGGCUUGAGAGAGUGUACGGCAACAUUGGGACUGAGACACGGCCCAGACUCCUACGGGAGGCAGCAGGGGGGAAUUUUGCACAAUGGGGGAAACCCUGAUGCAGCGACGCCGCGUGAUUUAGAAGGCCUUCGGGUUGUAAAAAUCUUUUGUAUGGGAAGAAAAUGACAGUACCAUACGAAUAAGGACCGGCUAAUUACGUG